rnacentral:lncRNA from 1 species
GAACUUAUAUUGUUGGGGGCAUAGCAUAAGAAAGCAAAAAUACAGUACUGCAACCAGAAAGAAUGGAAAGUUUCGUCUAUGACAAGUUGGUAAGGCUACCCACAAAUAUCGACAUCUUUAGGGAAACACACACGUGCUGGAAAGUUGAAUCCGCAUCUUAAAGUUCAGAAACAAAAAGCCACUGACACUGACAUUUUUCAACACAAGCAUGGCAAAAGCGCGUCAACAGCAUCAGACAAACGUGGUAGUAUCAAAUUAAACAAAAUAAAACACAGAAUAUAUAGCAAGUUAAAAAGGCAUUACAAAAGGUGAAGCGUUGAGAGCAUAAACAAAUGAUGGGGAAACUCACUAAUAGAAUCCUUCAAGAUCUCCUUCUUGGGG